rnacentral:lncRNA from 1 species
GCUGCAGCAACUUAGUGUUCUGGGCAGACUCGGCGAUGCCGGAGGCUCUUUCUCCUGUCCUGCUCCAGCCUAAGCUUUCAGCAGGCCCCGUGUGACGUCAACAAAACGUGCCUUGCUUUCAUCAUGGCUGCAGUUUUCCCGGGAGAGCAUUUGGAUUCUGCCUUCUCGGAAGAAGAGCACCCACACAAGUGAAUUAAAAUAUAAGCUAAAUUCAGCCUUGUUCAAAUGUGCCUCCACAUCGUCUUUGCUCUGCUCCUCAUCCUCCACCCCACCCACACCCCCAGGAAGAAAGGAAGGCAAUACGAACUUAUUCAUGCUCAGAAGUAAAAUGAGCUUUGAAAUCCGUUUACUUCCUUGAUGUCUUUACUGACUGCUACUAAUACUGGUUGCACUGAAACCUGAACCCUGAUUAAAACUCUUCAGUACCCAACAGGGCCCUGCUCUACCCAAGAGUCUUUGAAAAAAGAAUCUGAAAAAGAAUGGAUGUGUGUACAUGUAUAACUGAAUCACUGUUGUACAACAGAAAUCAUCACGUUGUCAAUUAUACUUCAGUAAAACCUUAAAUGAAAAAAUAAAAACAAAAAACAACCCCCAAAACCCCUCUUCAAUAGCCAUGAAUUUAUGAUCUGAUGCAAACAUGGUUAUUUCUAUAUCCUAUAGAUUAGCUUUGCUAAAAUACUUCUCCAUGCUUUUUCUUCUGUUCCUUCUCUAGUUCCUUGCAACACACAUUCAAUGUAACCUGUAUCAUCUUCCUGCAAGAUGCAUUAUGCAGUUCGAAAAUCACAUGCCAUUUUUUAAAAAAUGAAAACAGCCGUUUCAGCUGAAAUCACCCAACACUUUUAUCCCAAGGGAAAAGCUAUAAAAGUUGGCAUGAGAAUCCCAUUCUUCUUUCCUCUCAGAAAUUUUCUACAUUACACAAAAAUAAAGGGGCACAGGGUUUGUAUGGUUUCUUUUCCAUGUUCUAUACAAGUGACAUUUACUGUAAGUUUUGAAAACCAGCAAUCUACUUGUCAAAUUUGUCCAAUAUUCCAAUUUUGUUUGUUCUACCCAGCUUUAAAAAAAUAAUGAAUCUAAAUGCCUUUAAACAGUGCUGCAUUCCUUAUUAUAUAAUACCAUGCUCACUGGUUAGUCCUAGCAUUUUUUUUAAAUGUUGUAAGUUUUGUUUUUCCACUAUUUCCUUCAUUCUCUUUUUAUGAAAUCCUUUAUCUAUGAUUCGCUCCUUCAAGUUUUAAAUGGUUACUUUUUUUUCUUAAUCUUUUGUAUCUGUCCUGCAUCGAGAGUGAAAUUAUCUGCCCUGUCCUUCAAAUCUCUGAUUUUCUCUUUGAAAAUAUCUAUUUCAGAGUACACCAUCUAUUGAAUCUUUCAUUUAAUGACUGCAGGGGGUUUUUGUUUUCAUGAUUUCAAAUUGCUUAUUUUUUUUUUUUAUAGAUACUACCUCAUUUCGUUUAUGCCCUAAUUUUCUCCCAAGAAAAUGUUGGUGGUUAUUAUUUUACUUCCUCUGUACAAGAAUCCUCAAUUUUGGGGGUCAGACUAACCCAGAUCCUGGAUUUAUACUGGCCAUUGAGCUGCCCUACUGGAGCGAGGGUGGACCUCUUCCAGGCUGUGGAGAUGAGCCAGUAGGGAAUUGGGCCUGGGUACUGACUUUCAGGCAAGCCCAGUGUUCCUUCUAAAUAUUCUGUGCUGUGUAUGCUAUACAUUUUUCAUGGAACACUUUAAGGCCAUAUUUGCACUCCACGCUUGGAAGGUCCCAUCUGUCUUUGCCUUGAUACUCACUCCAUUCCCCUUUGUAUAUGUGAUCUCAACAAACAUUUGAAGCUCAUGCCUCUUCUGUGUCAUCUUUUCUUUAAGCUAUUGCUAGUUUUGUUUUGUUUCCCCCUCAUUGUUCUCUGUGUGGUCAUUUCUGAUCUAACUGGUCUCCUUUAGAACCAUUUGGGUGUGUUGAUAAUAUUGGAGGUUCCAGAAACAAUACACAUGAAUCCCGAAAGAAAAAUCCUUUUGACAAAUACGUGGAGUUAUUAUAAAUACUACGUUUGUAAAAUGUGUUAGAGCAUACAAUGUAUUAAUAAAAUAUUCCAGAUGUGGCUUCAUUUAUGAAAAUGUGGGAUGUUCGUGAGAAGGGGCCUUAUUGAAGGCUGAUCGUAGUACAUGUGACCUCAGGCUUCAUGAUAUAUAAGCAGAACUGAUGAUAUCUGCUUAUCAGAAAUGUCACCACCUUCAGUGUUUCAUUCCUCGGAUGAGUAAAUCUCAAGUCCAAGCAAGUUAACUGGUGACAAAGCCAGAAGCAAAACGAACGCCUACUGGCUUUGAAUCAUUGUUUAAUUUAAAGGAGUAGAUAAAUUAGAUUUAAUGCUCUAUAUUCAGACAAAAUGUCUAUUCUUCAUAGAUCUCAAAGGACAUUAUGACAAAACAUGCCUUUUGAUGUGGGGCUUCCUUAAUUUUCAUGUCUCUUUCACAACCUCCAAAAUAUGACUUAGAAUUUCUUACAUUAACAUGCAAUGUUUGAAACCAAUAUCUUCACUCAGUUUCUGAUAUUCAUUCUUGAAUAUGACGAAUGAGAGAUGGAGGGUCAUUCUUGAAUAUCAGAAAUGAGAGAUGGAGUAGGGGUGGGGGUGAUUUGAAAAUCAGAUUUGUAGGGGGAGUUCCUGUUGUGGCUCAGCGGUUAACAAACCCAACUAUUAUCCAUGAGGAUGCAGGUUUGAUCCCUGGCCUUGUUCAGUAGGUUAAGGAUCCGGUUG